GGUGAACGCUGGCGGCGUGCUUAAGACAUGCAAGUCGAACGGGCUCUUCGGAGCCAGUGGCGCACGGGUGAGUAACGCGUAACUGACCUACCCCAAAGUCGCGGAUAACGAUUCGAAAGAAUCGCUAAUACGUGAUGUGCUGUCAGAUCCUGUUCUGCCAGUAAAGAUUUAUUGCUUUGGGAUGGGGUUGCGUUCCAUCAGCUAGUUGGUGGGGUAAAGGCCCACUAAGGCGACGACGGAUCGCCGGCCUGAGAGGGUGGCCGGCCACAGGGGCACUGAGACACGGGUCCCACUCCUACGGGAGGCAGCAGUUAGGAAUCUUCCACAAUGGGCGAAAGCCUGAUGGAGCGACGCCGCGUGAGGGAUGAAGGUCGUCGGAUCGUAAACCUCUGAAUCAGGGACGAAAGACGCGAAAGCGGGAUGACGGUACCUGAGUAAUAGCACCGGCUAACUCCGUG
rnacentral:rRNA from 1 species